rnacentral:lncRNA from 1 species
ACCAUACAAUAGAGCACCUCCAAACCAUACAAGAGCACCUCCAAACCAUACAAGACCACCUCCAAACCAUACAAGAGCACCUCCAAACCAUACAAUAGAGCACCUCCAAACCAUACAAGAGCACCUCCAAACCAUACAAGAGCACCUCCAAACCAUACAACAGAGCACCUCCAAACCAUACAACAGAGCACCUCCAAACCAUACAACAGAGCACC